UACGGGGGGAGCAAGCGUUGUUCGGAUUUACUGGGCGUAAAGGGCGCGUAGGCGGCCUCUGCAAGUCGACUGUGAAAUCUCCGGGCUUAACCCGGAAAGGUCAGCCGAUACUGCAGGGCUAGAGUGUAGAAGGGGCAACUGGAAUUCUCGGUGUAGCGGUGAAAUGCGUAGAUAUCGAGAGGAACACCUGCGGCGAAGGCGGGUUGCUGGGCUGACACUGACGCUGAGACGCGAAAGCGUGGGGAGCAAACAGG
rnacentral:rRNA from 1 species